UUUUCUCCCUUGUGAGAAAACAGCAGAGUUUUAUCAUUAAAAUACAGGGGAGUAUUGCUGUGUGGGACAGAUUUGUUUAAGGCGGUUAAUUUUUCACUCUAGGUAUCCAGGAUUCACAUCUGAAGAGACUUUCUGUAACUCACUUCAGAAAACAAGAGCCACUCAGAAGCGAAGGAUCACCUGCAGGCACAGAGCAGAAUCACCAAUGUCCAAGUCACUUACAUACUGAGCAGCAAUGUGCCCGCAAGAGAAUGUGAACUAGUCUAUGAGAGAAGAGAGAAUUUACGGGUACAAAGCACUUCAUUUGGAACAUAGGAGGAAGAUAUAAGAGCUUCCAAUUCCCAGGAAACAUUGGGCAGCUGUUCAGCGGAGAACACAGACACAGCCAGACAGCCUCCUGCAAAUCGUUCUGGACAAUCCUGUGGGUCUGGGUUACUAAGAUGGGAAAGGACACAGGUUCUGAUCCUUGGACUCAGUCUCCUAGAGGAAGCAAUACUUCCUGCCGGAAACUUUUCUCCCCUGCAGGACUGGAAUUCAGACUGGUGUAUGCCUCCACUAUUGCCAUUCACAAGCUCCUCACCAGAGUUGCGUGAAUUCAUGGACAAUGCCUAGGACUUCCCCAAACUGAGAGCUAAAUCAACGUUUCCUCUUAUUAAAGUUUAUUACCAAAGAUAUUCUACAUGCUGUAAUAAAAAGCUAAUUCAUGGCACAAUAAAGUAACAUCA